rnacentral:rRNA from 1 species
GACGAACGCUGGCGGCGUGCUUAAACACAUGCAAGUCGAACGGAAAGGCCUGCUUUCCCUUGUGGAUUGCGGGUACUCGAGUGGCGAACGGGUGAGUAACACGUGAGUGAUCUGCCCCCAACUUGGGUAUAAGCCUGGGAAACUGGGUCUAAUUCCCGAUAGGACUGCAGGGUGGUGCCUGUGGUGGAAAACGAUUUUCUAGUGGUUGGGGAUGAGCUCGCGGCCUAUCAGCUUGUUGGUGGGGUAAUGGCCUACCAAGGCGGCGACGGGUAGCCGGCCUGAGAGGGUGGACGGCCACAUUGGGACUGAGAUACGGCCCAGACUCCUACGGGAGGCAGCAGUGGGGAAGAUUGCACAAUGGGCGGAAGCCUGAUGCAGCGACGCCGCGUGGGGGAUGACGGCCUUCGGGUUGUAAACUCCUUUCGACCGCGAGGAAGCCACCUGGUUGGAAGGGUGGUGACGGUAGUGGUAGAAGAAGCACCGGCUAACUACGU